rnacentral:rRNA from 1 species
UGGAGAGUUUGAUCCUGGCUCAGGAUGAACGCUGGCGGCGUGCCUAAUACAUGCAAGUCGAGCGAACUGAUUAGAAGCUUGCUUCUAUGACGUUAGCGGCGGACGGGUGAGUAACACGUGGGCAACCUGCCUGUAAGACUGGGAUAACUUCGGGAAACCGAAGCUAAUACCGGAUAGGAUCUUCUCCUUCAUGGGAGAUGAUUGAAAGAUGGUUUCGGCUAUCACUUACAGAUGGGCCCGCGGUGCAUUAGCUAGUUGGUGAGGUAACGGCUCACCAAGGCAACGAUGCAUAGCCGACCUGAGAGGGUGAUCGGCCACACUGGGACUGAGACACGGCCCAGACUCCUACGGGAGGCAGCAGUAGGGAAUCUUCCGCAAUGGACGAAAGUCUGACGGAGCAACGCCGCGUGAGUGAUGAAGGCUUUCGGGUCGUAAAACUCUGUUGUUAGGGAAGAACAAGUACGAGAGUAACUGCUCGUACCUUGACGGUACCUAACCAGAAAGCCACGGCUAACUACGUGCCAGCAGCCGCGGUA